AUACUUACCUGGCGCGCGGGGGAUACCGUGAUCAAGAAGGCGGUGCCUCCAGGACGAGGCCUGUACAUUGCACUCCGUAUGGGCUGACUCCUGCGACUACCCCAAAUCGGGGUGGCUCGAGCGCAUAAUUUUGGUAGUGGGACAAGCGUUCGCGCCGCUGUCCCU
rnacentral:snRNA from 1 species